rnacentral:rRNA from 1 species
CCUACGGGAGGCAGCAGUGGGGAAUUUUGCGCAAUGGGGGCAACCCUGACGCAGCAACGCCGCGUGAGUGGUGAAGGCCUUCGGGUCGUAAAGCUCUGUCAGAGGGGAAGAAAUGCAGGUGGUGAACAACCAUUCUGUUUGACGGUACCCUCAAAGGAAGCACCGGCUAACUCCGUGCCAGCAGCCGCGGUAAUACGGAGGGUGCGAGCGUUGUUCGGAAUUAUUGGGCGUAAAGCGCGUGUAGGCGGUUUGUUAAGUCUGAGGUGAAAGCCCCGGGCUCAACCGGGGAAGUGCAUUGGAUACUGGCAGACUUGAGUACGGGAGAGGAGAGUGAAAUUCCCGGUGUAGAGGUGAAAUUCGUAGAUAUCGGGAGGAACACCGGUGGCGAAGGCGACUCUCUGGCCCGAUACUGACGCUGAGACGCGAAAGCGUGGGGAGCAAACAGGAUUAGAUACCCCUGUAGU